GAUGAACGCUGGCGGCGUGCCUAACACAUGCAAGUCGAACGGGCUUAACAUGAAACCUAGUGAUUGUUAAGUUAGUGGCGGACGGGUGAGUAACGCGUGGAUAACCUGCCGUAUGCAGGGGGAUAACAGUUGGAAACAGCUGCUAAUACCGCAUAAGCGCACAGUACCGCAUGGUACGGUGUGAAAAGAUUUAUCGGCAUACGAUGGAUCCGCGUCCGAUUAGCCAGUUGGCGGGGUAACGGCCCACCAAAGCGACGAUCGGUAGCCGGCCUGAGAGGGCGGACGGCCACAUUGGGACUGAGACACGGCCCAA
rnacentral:rRNA from 1 species